rnacentral:rRNA from 1 species
UACGUAGGGUGCGAGCGUUGUCCGGAAUUACUGGGCGUAAAGGGCUCGUAGGGGGUUUGUCUCGUUGUCCGUGAAAACUCACAACUCAAUUGUGGGCGUGCGGGCGAUACGGGCAGACUGGAGUACUGCAGGGGAGACUGGAAUUCCUGGUGUAGCGGUGGAAUGCGCAGAUAUCAGGAGGAACACCGGUGGCGAAGGCGGGUCUCUGGGCAGUAACUGACGCUGAGGAGCGAAAGCGUGGGGAGCGAACAGG